GUGAAUUACAUUGAUUGAUUUGCAGAUAUUGAAGAAUCCUUGCAUCCCUGGGAUAAAGCCCACUUGGUCAUGGUGUAUGAUCUUUUUAAUGUGUUGUUGGAUUCUGAUUGCUAGGAUUUUGUUAAGGAUUUUUGCAUCUAUGUUCAUCAGUGAUAUUGGCCUGUAGUGUUCUUUUUUUGUGGCAUCUUUGUCAGGUUUUGGUAUUAGGGUGAUGGUGGCCUCAUAGAAUGAGUUUGGAAUUUACCUUCCUCUGCAAUUUUCUGGAAGAGUUUGAGUAGGAUAGGUGUUAGCUCUUCUCGAAAUUUUUGGUAGAAUUCAGCUGUGAAGCCAUCUGGACCUGGGCUUUUGUUUGCUG
ensembl:lncRNA